AACGAACGCUGGCGGCAUGCCUAACACAUGCAAGUCGAACGAGAUCUUCGGGUCUAGUGGCGCACGGGUGCGUAACGCGUGGGAAUCUGCCCUUUGGUUCGGAAUAACAGUUGGAAACGACUGCUAAUACCGGAUGAUGACGAAAGUCCAAAGAUUUAUCGCCAGAGGAUGAGCCCGCGUAGGAUUAGCUAGUUGGUGUGGUAGAGGCGCACCAAGGCGACGAUCCUUAGCUGGUCUGAGAGGAUGAUCAGCCACACUGGAACUGAGACACGGUCCAGACUCCUACGGGAGGCAGCAGUGGGGAAUCUUGCGCAAUGGGCGAAAGCCCGACGCAGCAAUGCCGCGUGAGGGAAGACGGCCUUAGGGUUGUAAACCUCUUUCAGCAGGGACGAACACAGACGGUACCUGCAGAAGAAGCCCCGGCUAACUACGUGCCAGCCGCCGCAGUAA
rnacentral:rRNA from 1 species